UUUCUAAAUUCGCGCGCACCCAUGAAUGACAGAGGACGACUCUUUCAUUCCCAACCGAUUGAAUUUCACAAGCACACAGGUCUUUCUGAAACGAAGCCCUAUUUCGUUUUAACCCUUUGAUUGUCAAAAGGAACAUAGAAAGGGUUAGGCACAGAGAAGAGAAGGGUUCGAAGGAGCAAAAUCGCAGGAGAAUGGAAGGGUCUGAACUGUCUCAUCGCAGAGAGAUGGAGAGCUGAAGGAAGGAGCAAAGCGAAGAAGGCCAUGUGGGAGGAUAACAAAACUAGAUCAAAGUGGGUUAUCGUCAAUCGAUGCCACUUCCCUGAUGACUUGCCAGAGGUAGUUGGCCGACUGUGUUCCCCUGAAAGCAAUGAGGGUUCUAUCUUGUUGAUGACUCCCUUAUUUUCAAGGUUUAUUUUGCAACUUUAGCUCUAGCCUCAAGAAUUUGUCACAGGCCCUCUUCCAUCCAAGCACUCAAAUUCUCUGCCCUUUGAUUUGGAGGAAAACCCAGAAAGAUGAGAUGAGAGAGUUCAGCCAUUUCAUAUCAAUAUUGGGGUUGGGAAGAGGGGAGGCAGAGGGAUGAGGGUAUAACAAUUGAUUGAAGCAGUCAUUUGCUAUUUUCUAUGGAUUCUUUGCAAAAUUUUGUUAGUGGUUCUGCUUCCUACAGGACUGGCCAUAUUUAGCUGUAUGCCAACAACAUUAUCAAGUGGAGUGGCGUUGACUCGGUUUGCUAGGGGGAAUUUUGCUCUUGCGCUUGCAAUGACUGUAAUAUCUAAUCUGCUGGGAAUCUUGAUUGGGAUCUUGAUGACUGUCCAAGUUCAUGCCACUCUUACAUUUCAAUUAGCUCUCUUAGUAGAUAGUGUUGCUUGAAGAGCAAUGGAGAAUCAAUGAGUAACUGAAUGCAAGAGUACAAAACUUGGAGUCUAAUAGUGUGGAGAUCAAUGCCAAGAUUGAUUUGAUGCUACAACAGAUUAGUCAGGGAGGUUUUACUCCUGAUUUAUCAUCAUAGUAAGUACCUUCUGCAUAUAUAACCAGUUCAUAAAUUAAGUUCCUUACCCCCGCUACUCUCUCAAUAACCUUAAUCUUCAUUGUCAAUUGAAAAUAAAUAUACAUACUCUGUUUAGAGUGAUUUGGUGAGAAAUGAAGAAGGGGGUGUUUGGUUUAUAAUUUUGGAUUUGUUGAUUCUAUAUAUAUUUGGUUUUAUGACUUUAAAAUAUCCGGCCAUAUAUUGAAGAUUUUCAUUUUAGAUUUAUUGAUUCUAUGUGUAUGUCAUAUUUAUAUAUGGUAAUACAAACAUUUUAUACUAGUAACAAUCAAAGUCGUUAUUCCUUUUCUAUUGAUGCAGGAGAUGAAGAGUCAUUGUGAUGAGAAAAUUUUUGAUUUUGUCUUUUGUCAAAAAUUUCCUG